UAUUUUUUAAAAAUUGUUAAAGAUAGUUAUUGGUAACGAUAGUUAAAAGUAUUGAGAGAGGAGUUUGAAAAAUUGAAAAAAUUUUUUAAUAAAAGUAAGUUUUUGUACCUUUUGUAUAAGGGGUUAAUAAUUAAAAUUAAUUAUUUAUGUAUCUCGAAGUAAUUUGAGCUAUUAAUUAGUUAGUGUAUUGUUUAAUAAAUAUAUUUAAUAUUUAAUAGUAAUGAAAUUUUUUUCGAAAAUUGUGAUAUCUAGUUAUUGGGGAGAAAUUAUAUAUUUUAGGUAGUUUUAUGUUGAAUGAUAAUUUGUACUGGUUUUACUUUUUAGGGAUAAGCUUUUGAAGAGGAUAUAAAGUUUAUUUUAAAUUAUUAGAGGCUUAGAAUUUGCUUUUUGUUUGUAAUAAGGUAGUAUUGAUUUUUUUUUUUAUUAAAAAAUUUUUUUUAUGAAUUUUUAUGAGAAGAAUUAAUAUUAAUAUUAGUAUAAUUAUGGAAAGAUUUUUCAAUUUGAUUUUUAUUUUAUUGGAGUUAUUAAAUAAAGAGGAAUUAAGCAAAUUAAUUUUUUGAAUGUUUAUCAAAAACAUAGUAUUUUGAAUUAGUGAAAUAUAGGGCCUGCUCAAUGAUGUAAAUUGCUGUGGUAUUUUGACUAUACGAAGGUAUUGAAAUAAGGCUUUAAUUGGGUGCUAAGAGAAUGGUUUAACAAAAAAUAGCUUUCUUUUUUUUUAUAAUAGAAUUUAAUGUAAAAAUGAAAAAGUUUUUAUAAUUUUUUGGGACAAGAAGACCCUAUGAAUUUUUCUUAAAUUAUAUUUAUAAUUUUUAAUUUAAAUUAAAUUAAGUAAAAAAUUUAAGUUGGUUGGGGUGAUUUUUAAAGAAUGGGUAUCUUUAAAUUAUUAGGAAAUUGAUCCAGAAUUUUUGAUUAAUUGAAAUAAAUACUCUAGGGAUAACAGCGUAAUUAUUUUGGAUAGUUCAUAUAGGUAAAAUAGUUUGCGACCUCGAUGUUGGAUUAAGAUACUUUUAUAAUGUAGUAGUUAUAUUAAGGAGUUUGCUCAACUUUUGAAAUCUUACAUGAUCUGAGUUCAGACCGGCGUGAGCCAGGUCGGUUUCUAUCUAAAUAAGUAGAUUGUAUUGGUUUAGUACGAAAGGAAUAGGCAAUAAAAAAUUUUUUUUAAAUGUUAAAAUUUUUAAAGUUUA
rnacentral:rRNA from 1 species